CACAGGCGGGGCCGGCCGCGCUCCCCCCGCGGCUCCUCAGCCGUCACAGAAGCCUCCGGACGCUACACGGCGCACCCGCCUCACGCCGACCAGGACAACGCAGCAAUUGCAAUGCCGGGAUGAAGGCAGAAGCCACACAGCAGGUAAAGACAGUAACCCGAACGCCAGGGCAGUGCCCGAAGCACCAGCACAGGUGAAAGCAGUAACUCCAACACCGGCAGAACCAACCCUGGAAGGCUCCCGGCAGCACAGCGCACCAACCCUAACACUGGGAGAACCCUAGGCCCUGCACAGAAGGACAAGACACGCUCCAAAAAGAUACCGGACCUCGCUGGGUGCCAGCACGGUGURUGAGACCUGAUUUGAAGCAGAACGAAUGCAGAAACGAUGAUGGCACAGGUUAGAGUUCUUCUGACCAUCCUCAUCGUCGCCUCCAUGGCAGCCUGGAGUUGUGGUGGGAAGGAGCAGCACUGAUGCCCUCUCUGCCUAAAGGGAAUAUUCGGGUGACUCUAGCUCAUGCUUUGAAUCAAUCAUCUGUGUGUGUGUCGCUUGCUACGCCUUGCUCUCCUUUUCAGACAUGCUUGCUAGGAGUGCCAUUGCAAAAUGAGACAUUAAUACGGGCACUAGCGAAUGGAACAAUGGGACGAGGGGAAGCAAGGCUGACACCACCUAUCCUCAUGAAGCACAGGAACUAGAUUUAUUGGGGUGUCUUCAUGCACUUGCUUGCGUGAUGUUUAAGAUAUGCCCUGCUUGGUACAGGGAGUGCUACAAAGGAGUGGYAGCUGGAUUGAUGGGUUGUUUGACAAAUGGGGCUUCUCAGUGUGGCUCAGGGAUAUGCUGAGGACGGGUGGAGUCAUSUUGCUUGUGAUAUUGUUAAUGUUGUUGUUGGAGCUGUGCUUGCUGUCUUUUCUGCAAAGGUCCUUGCAGAGGCCCAUAAACACAGCAUUUUUGAUUCAAAACAGAAAAGGGGACCUGUGGGAGAAAAAAUUGGCCCCACAAGCCCUGAAUGUGAAAUGCAGGCAAUUAUUGUGUAUCACUGAGUCCUGGGAAAAGAAAGGGAGUGUUAACAGCCUACAUGGAGGAGGAAUACCACAUUCUUGGCUACUGCUGAGAAAAGGAAAUUGGAAUGUAGAAUCGAUAAUGCAGGUGGCUGGAAAUUAUAAACAUUAGUAGUACUGUAGCUUUUGCAAACUCACCAAUUAUGUUCUGAAGACUAAUUAAACAGCUGUCUCUUAACCAGUGUAUGGUUGACACAAAUGUAUAUUCUGAUUGCUAAAGUGGAUAAAAGAGGCUUGUCUCACAAUAAACUUCCUUCUUUCUGUCUGGUUUUUUUCACUUAGUUUUGUGUGGUUUGUAUCUAUUAUUUUAUGUUGCUGUUUGGGCAGCAGCAACAAAAAAAUCACACAAGAAAGGUCAACACACAAAGUCACAGGACAUCACAGAGUGUCCCUGAGUGUCCACAGCUGUCCCCCACACCUCCACCUGCCCCUUACACCCACCUGGCCUCUGCUAUCCCUUGGCAGUGCACCCCAAGAUCACUCAGAGCCACCCCAGAAAUUGAUACCUGAUCGAUAACCGCUCCUAUCUGAUCCAUUGUAAACCAAACACAUUCCCCUCUGUCCACUCGUCACUUUGGUCUAUCUGUCCUGACCAAUUGCUGUAAUUGCAAAAAUAACGGUAAAGAAUGUUUGUGAGGUUGAAGAAUGGGAUCCUCUAGCUGUUAACAAAAGCAUCAGGACCUGAGGUAUCACUGCCCUUUUUGAGGAUAAUKGACAGGAAUAAAUAAAUUUUCAUUCAUUGGCCCUUAAGAAGCUUGGGCAUGUUCUCUAAUUAGCAAAAGUGAGCAAAACCCACCUUUUCCUACUACUGAGGACAUGUCAUCUUUAUGACCAGACAUUUAUUGUCAAUCCAUAGUGCCUUAUGGACACUGAUACCAAAGCCAAGUACAUUACU